CUCAGAGAGCAGCCCUGCACAUUUCAGAAAAUGUGAAACUUUUUUGUUUUUUUUCCACACAGGCAUCUUUAAACAAUAGGGUGGUCCGUGUCGGAAACAAUGGACGGUAAAACGAGAGGUUAACUUGAGAUGAAAAGAAUACAGUAGGAUCUUUUCUUGUCUAUUGUUGUGCUUUUCUAAUGUUUUAGUUCCUAUUUUUCAUUCAAAUCAAAGAUGGGGAAAGAUGACAGUUUAUGACAAAACCUUGAAAGAUGAAAACGGAGACUUUAUGGCUAAUUUCCCCGGGAAAUGGAUGAAGGCUGGGAACGGGCUGGGUUUGCUCUCGGCAUAAAUCUCUGCUGUGCCACCCGUUGACCCCUGGCCUUGACCUUUGCUUCUGGAGUCUCGCAGACACUUCCUGUGGUGCAUUCUGGGCCGGCGUUCACCGCAGCCAUCCUCUCGAUUCGCUCUCAGGAAAUUCUCGCUGCCAGAAGUGUUUCCUGAAUGACAUUUCUGGAUUUCUGGAUUCCUUUGUGUUCAUGGAGUGAGGAGGGACACGAGCAGCAGGUGUGUAGGUGGGACGAGACAAACAUUUAUAACCUGAGCAUCUCUCCGAGGAACCCUUCCUCUCUUCUCGGGGUUCUCUUUCCUUCUGUCUGAAUCAUAAAGAUCUGGCCGGAUGAUCAGACAGUCUCUUCAUGAGGUUAUAAAGUCUUGUUAUCCUGAGGCUGAACUGUCACCACUGUUGUUGUUGUGGUGGUGGCAGCGGUGGCCGUUUUUUCUGCAGAUCUUAUUGGCUGCUCAUAAGGGCCCAUAAAGACGAGUAUGGUCUGUGUUUCAUCUCCAUAGCUGGCUUACAGGCUGAUAGACAGAUGAAGAGAGAGAGAGAGAGAGAUCCCCAGGCCACCCUCACUUUAAUGUUAGUCUGUAGGGAGGGAGGCAGCCAUCAUAUCUCUGAUCAGAAAAGGAAAUGAUCAAGAAGGCAUUAGCUUAACCAUUUGUCCACAGAGAAUAAAUGUUCUACUAAACCAUUUUUAAAAAUCA
ensembl:lncRNA